GAUUAAGUGUCCCUAAGUCAUCAUUUUUGUCUACUAUGCUUGUGACAUUAUUACCAAACUGUCCACAAUCUUGUCUACAUUAUUUUUAUUGACAGGUGACAAACUAUAAUUUAUUUUCUUUUUAAUCAUUUUCUCAAUUUUUUGUUGAAAGUAAUAUUGCUGGCUGAAAAAUCUUUACGAAAACAAAAUUUACAAAUUAAGCAAGUGAUGCUAAUUAGUGCAUGAGCUGACCAAAAUACAGGCAGAAGAAGAUAAUUAUUGGUGAUAAUGCUGAACGCAACCGGCAUCAGGUAUUUCGACACAGCAAUGUUUGACGGAUCAUUUGGCAGCUAUCCAAAGAUUUCCUUUUUAUAAACGUUUUUUUUACUGUAUAAAUAUUUUAAACAAAUAAAUAAAAUCUAAGAUU